UGAGCUGCAGUUGGCAGUGUCCACAUGUGCCCUGAGACCGUACACACGAUAUCUAAUGCUAGUAAAGGAAUAUAAAAGACGUAUAACAACGAAAUGAAAACUGGACACUUCCUAUAGCCAGUGAAAGACACAGUUGAAAGAUGCUGAGUGACUCUGAGGCUGCUGAGCUGGUCUCCUUCCUGACCCUUGGUACACGUGCUGAUGUCAAAGGUCAGGUCACGGAGUACAUCCUGGGACUGUCUGGACACAGGGAUGGCUGCCGCUUCCUCCACUCUAAACCUGACUUACUUGUUGCCCUGUUUACGUUGACCUCUGACCCCUCUGUUGCCAUAGUGAAGGACUGUUACCACAUCCUCAUCAACCUGUCAGCUGAUGAGACUCUGCACCAGGUUUUGGUGGCAGAUAUUAAAGUUCUUCCAGUGUUGUUAAAGAACCUUAUGGAUCCAGAGUACCUGUUCUCUGAUCAGAUCUGUACCAUCCUGACCAACCUGUCCCGCCAUGAGAAGACCUGCAAGACUGUGUUCAAGGUCCUCCAGGAGGAGGUGGGUCUGGCCCAGUUGGUGGAGAUCUUCUGUACUGAAGGUUACAACAAGAGGGCGAAGCUCCACUACCUGGGUCCUCUGCUGUCCAACCUGACACAGCUGCCUGAGGCCAGAAACUACGUGAUGGAUAAGGACAGGUGUGUAGUCCAGAGGUUGUUGUCCUUCACUCAGUACCAGGCAUCAGCGGUGAGGAGGGGAGGAGUCAUUGGCACUCUGCGCAACUGUUGCUUUGACUACGUGCAUCAUGAGUGGUUGCUGAGUGACGCUGUGGACAUCCUGCCCUUCCUCCUGCUGCCGCUGGCCGGUCCAGAGGAGCUGUCGGAGGAAGAAAAUGACGGUCUGCCUGUGGAUCUUCAGUACCUCCCAGAGGACAAGAAGAGAGAUGAAGACCCCGACAUCAGAAAGAUGCUGGUGGAAACACUCUUACUGUUGACAGCCACCAAGACCGGCCGGCAGACGCUGAAAGACAAGAACGUUUAUCCGAUCAUGCGAGAGUUUCACCGCUGGGAGAAGGACGUCUAUGUUGCAGCAGCCUGUGAGAAACUGGUCCAGGUGCUGAUCGGUGAUGAGCCGGAGCAGGGGAUGGAGAACCUGAUGGAGGUGGAGAUUCCUGAGGACGUGGAAGUGAAACUGAAGGAGGCCGACGCCAAAGAGCAGGAGGAACUGGAGAAGGAGCAGGAGAAGAGACAGGAGGAGGAGGAGGAGGAGGAGGAGGAGGAGAAGAAGAAGAACAGUGAUGCAGAGCGGACAGACAGAGAACAGGAGAGUGGACUGAUUCAGUAAAACCUGUUUUAAACCCGUAACAUCUCAGGCUCCAUCAAGACGUCUGUCAUUCAGACAGUUAAAUGUUCAUCACAGCUUCGUUCAGACCUGACAAGACAUUUACAGAAAGAGACACAAUCCUCUGAGAUGACUGUCAGCUGCUCUACAGAGGGAGCUGAGCUGAAAAGAAAACACGGUACUGAAAACCUCUCACUGAUUCCUGGUUUAAAUGACACUGAUUGACCAGAAGGGGGCGUCGGAGCAUUUACAGUUUCUGUCACUUCUCACUGACGCUGAUCUGAAACCGGUCACUGCACUUCUGCUCCCCUCUCCGCAGAGGUUCAUCUUUACCUUGAAAAUUUGAGAACGUCACAUUUAAAACUAAUUUCACUGUACGACCCGGUUGAAAAGCUUAAAGCUGAAUCAUUUUAAUUUAAGUUCAAAUUAUGUUGCAACUUUGUAUUUUGUAUUUAUGUCUUUAUUAGUUACUAUUCUGAUGUAUUCAGAUAAUUCAUACACUGUCAGUAUGGAGAUAACUGCAGUGAACCUGAACGUUUACAUGAAAUGAAUUGAGACCAGAUCAGACGAGAAACUAAAACUAAAGCUGCCCUCAGCUCUGUGUGUGUGUCCUCUGUUCUUAUGCCUUUGUGAGGAUCGGUUUGACUUUAAACCAUUUAGACUGAGGAUGUUUUUGACCAGCAAAGUCUCAUUUAUUUGGGUAAAUGAGAAGACUUUUGAAAAGUGAGGACAUUUCUGAAAAGUUUAAACCUUUUUUGAGAGAGAAGUUUUAAAAUAGACCUCUUUUGAAAGUGAGGACAUUUUGUCUGGUCCUCACUUCUUCAAAGGCUUGAGUGAUGGUUCAGAUGUGGUUUUAGGUUUAAGGGUAGACGCAGGUUCAGUUUUUUGUUUUGGUGUGUGUCAGCAGAUUAGCAGUAUUGUAGCUGGUAGAGGAGCAGAGGAGCUGCUGAGAUACUUUCUGUAACAUUUAAAAAGGAAAUGUUAAUAAAAGGAAUAGGGGCAUUACAAGCACAGAAGUUGAACAGUGUGUAUCUGUGUGGCU